AUUGAACGCUGGCGGCAGGCCUAACACAUGCAAGUCGAACGAGUGGCGGACGGGUGUGCAAUGUCUGGGAAACUGUCUGAUGGAGGGGGAUAACUACUGGAAACGGUAGCUAAAACCGCCUACCAUCGGUUGUGUCCAGGUGGGAUUAGCUAGUAGGUGGGGUAACGGCUCACCAAGGCGCCGCUCCCUAGCUGGUCUGAGAGGAUGACCAGCCACACUGGAACUGAGACACGGUCCAGACUCCUACGGGAGGCAGCAGUGGGGAAUAUUGCACAAUGGGCGAAAGCCUGAUGCAGCCAUGCCGCGUGUGUGAAGAAGGCCUUCGGGUUGUAAAGUACUUUCAGCGGGGAGGCGUUACCCGCAGAAGAAGCACCGGCUAACUCCGUGCCAGCAGCCGCGGUAAUAC
rnacentral:rRNA from 1 species